GUCCAUGCCGUAAACGAUGAUAACUAGAUGUGUGAGGUAUUGACCCCUUACGUGUCGAAGCAAACGCGAUAAGUUAUCCGCCUGGGGAGUACGGUCGCAAGAUUAAAACUCAAAGGAAUUGACGGGGGCCCGCACAAGCGGUGGAGCAUGCGGUUUAAUUCGACGCAACGCGAAGAACCUUACCUAGGCUUGACAUGUAUAGAAGUCCUUGGAAACUUGGAUGUGCUCGCAAGAGAGCUAUAACACAGGUGCUGCAUGGCUGUCGU
rnacentral:rRNA from 1 species